UACGGAGGGAGCUAGCGUUGUUCGGAAUUACUGGGCGUAAAGCGUGCGUAGACGGUUACAUGAGUCGGGUGUGAAAGCCCCGGGCUCAACCUGGGAAUUGCAUUCGAGACUGCGUAGCUAGGGUGCGGAAGAGGGAAGCGGAAUUUCCGGUGUAGCGGUGAAAUGCGUAGAUAUCGGAAGGAACACCAGUGGCGAAAGCGGCUUCCUGGUCCAGCACCGACGUUCAGGCACGAAAGCGUGGGGAGCAAACAGG
rnacentral:rRNA from 1 species